GACCAAGAAGACACUUGAGGGCAGAACCCCACUUUCCUUCACUCAGAAUGUCUGGGAAUCAGACAGUCGAGUCCAAGAACUGAUGGAUAUUUUGUUACGGAAGAAAGAUAAGUAAACUGCGUGGUGCACGAGCCUGGUGGUGUCUGAGGUCAUUAUCUGGGAUGCACAGGAAGGAAAGAGAGAUGCCAUGAAGUCGUCUUCUGACAUCCAGGACCGGCCGUGAGUAAUGAAUCAAGCGACCAGACGCUGACUGGACAGUCACACGCAGUCACAUGCAGUGAUUCAUUGAAGAAGCAUGGGAUUAGGAAAACAGCUCCACCUCAGAAUCCAGGCUUCACCCAGGCCACUGACCUCUACCUUCUUCUUUGUGUUUUUAAAUUUGUGAUUAUGUUUCUUUAUUCUUUGAG